UUAAAAAUUCUGAAAACUCGGCUUGCGCAGACGCAGUAAGGCGAUCAAUAGGACAUGAAUUCUAUCUCCUUCGGAAAGAGGAAAAUCGAAGGGA
rnacentral:lncRNA from 1 species